AGUGAACGCUGGCGGUAGGCCUAACACAUGCAAGUCGAACGGCAGCACAGUAAGAGCUUGCUCUUACGGGUGGCGAGUGGCGGACGGGUGAGGAAUACAUCGGAAUCUACUUUUUCGUGGGGGUUAAGGAAGGGAAACUUACGACAUUACAGCAUCGGCCCCAGGGUGGAAAGCGGGGGAAAUUCGCACCUGGCGGGAUUGAACGCGCGGAUGACGGUUUAGUUAGUGGGGGGGGUAAAGGCCAACCCAGGCGAGGAUCCGUGGCUGGUCUGAGAGGAUGAUCAGCCACACUGGAACUGAGACACGGUCCAUACUCCUACGGUAGGCAGCAGUGGGGAAUAUUGGACAAUGGGCGCAAGCCUUAUCCAGCCAUACCGCGUGUGUUAAGAAGGCCUUCGGGUUGUAAAGCCCGUUUGUUGGGAAAGAAAAGCAGCAGGUUAAUACCCCGCUGUUCUGACGGUACCCAAAGAAUAAGCACCGGCUAACUUCGUG
rnacentral:rRNA from 1 species